GCCAGGUGGCACAGGUGCCUCUGUGUGACUUCCAGGGCUGGGUCAGCAUGGACCACCUGACUGCCAGAGGCUUCCCUGUGGACACCCGCCUCUGUGCUGACCUUCAGAAGUCUGGAGACCCUCACCUGUCCUGGAGUGUGCAAGCCAUCAGGCACCUCAACUCACUGGCCACAUCUAAGACUACCUCCACCCAUUCAAAGAUGUACAUCCAGCAGGCCAGCUCGGAGGGAGGAAGAGAGCAAGUUCAGGGGUACAGCGGCGAAUUUCAACACAGUCAUCCUCGCCUCCUUGCCAGCAUCUGAGGGCUUUCCUGAUCUCCUGUCCACGCGCCCACCGCCCACCCGCUCAAACGCCAAAAGAGAGCCGUUCCAAGUCAUUUUUAUUUUAGAAUACAAGAGGUACAAAUGUAUUUACAGGUGUACAUAUACAAUCAAAUAAUAUAUAUCACAGCUUUGUAAAUAUCAUUUAGAUAACUAUUUACAAAGUUAAAGUGACCAUUUUCUGGAAGGAAAACACAGUUUCUGGAAAACUCUAUACACUUUAUACUUCUUUCAUUAAUAUUAUAGUUUCUUUAUGUU
rnacentral:lncRNA from 1 species